ensembl:lncRNA
ACUGCCGAUGCGCCUGCCAGCCAGAGGAAGCUGGGAAGAGGCAAGCCCGCUGGGCGCCCACGGGCCAGCUCUGGGAUCAUUCUGGAGGAUCACUUCCCUUGACAACGAUGUCAGCAUACAGAGGCCUGGGGCUCCUCGCAGGGCCCCGACUUGAUGGGACCAAGGAGACUCCCCAGCCGCUGCUGUCCCCGGGCUGGCCCCAGGGGCAGGGCGAGUCGAGCAGGAGCAUCCCGCCUCUGUCCGUGGGCCCGAGUGCAGCACCUCAGGGCCAGCUGGUGGUGCCAGGCCCUCUCGACGUCCACGAGCACCUCCUGGCUGAACCGCUGCCUGGGGACCCCAGCAGACAUGCUCCCCGAGUUCUCAG